rnacentral:rRNA from 1 species
UGGGGAAUAUUGCACAAUGGGGGAAACCCUGAUGCAGCAACGCCGCGUGAGUGAUGACGGUCUUCGGAUUGUAAAGCUCUGUCUUUAGGGACGAUAAUGACGGUACCUAAGGAGGAAGCCACGGCUAACUACGUGCCAGCAGCCGCGGUAAUACGUAGGUGGCAAGCGUUGUCCGGAUUUACUGGGCGUAAAGGGAGCGUAGGUGGAUAUUUAAGUGGGAUGUGAAAUACCCGGGCUUAACCUGGGUGCUGCAUUCCAAACUGGAUAUCUAGAGUGCAGGAGAGGAAAGGAGAAUUCCUAGUGUAGCGGUGAAAUGCGUAGAGAUUAGGAAGAAUACCAGUGGCGAAGGCGCCUUUCUGGACUGUAACUGACACUGAGGCUCGAAAGCGUGGGGAGCAAACAG